AAAUUGAAGAGUUUGAUCAUGGCUCAGAUUGAACGCUGGCGGCAGGCCUAACACAUGCAAGUCGAAUGGUAACAGGAAACAGCUUGCUGUUUCGCUGACGAGUGGCGGACGGGUGAGUAAUGUCUGGGAAACUGCCUGAUGGAGGGGGAUAACUACUGGAAACGGUAGCUAAUACCGCAUAACGUCGCAAGACCAAAGAGGGGGACCUUCGGGCCUCUUGCCAUC
rnacentral:rRNA from 2 species